CAGUCGCCGCGGUAAUACAGAGGGUGCGAGCGUUAAUCGGAUUUACUGGGCGUAAAGCGUGCGUAGGCGGCUUCUUAAGUCGGAUGUGAAAUCCCUGAGCUUAACUUAGGAAUUGCAUUCGAUACUGGGAAGCUAGAGUAUGGGAGAGGAUGGUAGAAUUCCACGUGUAGCGGUGAAAUGCGUAGAGAUCUGGAGGAAUACCGAUGGCGAAGGCAGCCAUCUGGCCUAAUACUGACGCUGAGGUACGAAAGCAUGGGGAGCAAACAGGAUUAGAUACCCCAGUAGUCCCUGUCUCUUAUAA
rnacentral:rRNA from 1 species